UACAGAGGUCUCAACCGUUGUUCGGAUUCAUUGGGCGUAAAGGGUGCGUAGGCGGCGGGGUAAGUCAGGUGUGAAAUCUCGGGGCUCAACCCCGAAACUGCACUUGAUACUGCCUCGCUUGAGUACUGGAGAGGAGACUGGAAUUUACGGUGUAGCAGUGAAAUGCGUAGAUAUCGUAAGGAAGACCAGUGGCGAAGGCGGGUCUCUGGACAGUUCCUGACGCUGAGGCGCGAAGGCCAGGGGAGCAAACGGG
rnacentral:rRNA from 1 species